GCUAGGCAUGGUGGUGCACGCCUGUAAUCCCAGUGACUCAGGAGGCUGAGGCAGGAGGAUCGCAACUGUGAGGCCAGCCUCAGCAACUUAGCAAGACCCUAAGCAUCUUGGUGAGACCCUGUCUCAA
rnacentral:sRNA from 1 species